rnacentral:rRNA from 1 species
AUUGAACGCUGGCGGCAGGCCUAACACAUGCAAGUCGAGCGGAUGAAGGGAGCUUUCUCCUGGAUUCAGCGGCGGACGGGUGAGUAAUGCCUAGGAAUCUGCCUGGUAGUGGGGGAUAACGUCCGGAAACGGGCGCUAAUACCGCAUACGUCCUGAGGUAGAAACUGGGGGUUCUUCGGACCUCACCCUAUCUGAUGACCCUAGGUCGGAUUAGCUAGUUGGUGGGGUAACGGCCUACCAAGGCGACGAUCCGUAACUGGUCUGAGAGGAUGAUCAGGCACACUGGAACUGAGACACGGUCCAGACUCCUACGGGAGGCAGCAGUGGGGAAUAUUCGGCAAUGGGCGAAAGCCUGAUCCGGCAAUGCCGCGUGUGUGAAGAAGGUCUUCGGAUUGUAAAACACUUUAAGUUGGGAGGAAGAGCAGUAAGUUAAUACCUUGCUGUUUUGACGUUACCAACAGAAUAAGCAACGGCUAACUUCGUG